AGCACAGACCCACUUGCCUCAGGAAGCCGAGCUCGUCUGACUUCCCAUCAUGGCCCGGGCCCCCCUGCUCCUCGCCCUGCUCACUUACUGCUCAGGGGUCAGGUCACAGCCUGUGGUGACUCAGGAGCCCUCCAUGUCGGUGACCCCAGGAGGGGCCGUCACGCUGUCCUGCAGCCUGAGCACUGGAGCCAUCACCAGCAGCAACUAUCCACAUUGGUUUCAACAGAAACCUGGUUCAGCUCCUCGGACACUUAUAUACAGCACCAAUAGCAGACCCUCCGGGAUCCCUGACCGGUUCUCUGGGGCCAUAUCCGGUAACAACGCUGCCCUGACCAUCACCGGUGUGCAGGCAGAGGAUGAGGCUGACUAUUACUGUUCUUCUUUGAUAGACCAUGUCAUUGUCCCUUGUCUUGGUAAGGUGCUAACAAGCUCGGUGUAA